CCUUCGAUAGCUCAGUGGUAGAGCGUGAAACAGCUGUAACUGGAUAUGAAUACUGUUGAUUCAAGGUCGCCAGUUCGAUUCUGGCUCGAAGGA
rfam:Peniophora sp. CONT PENSPscaffold_67_Cont115, whole genome shotgun sequence.